UUGAGCCGGAUGCGGGGAAACUCGCACGUCCGGUUCUUAGGGGGGAGCGGCCCGGCAACGGGCUGCUCCUACCCGAGU
rnacentral:ncRNA from 1 species